ACAGAACUUGGGUCCCCUGUGGAUUUUGAGAGUCCUUCGGAACCGCCCCGACCCCCUGGGGGGGGCGGGGGCGAGAGGCUCCCGCAGACCUCCUGUCUCUGUUUUCCCCCUCAGAGCGGCAAUGCUAACAAGAACAAUGAUCAGCUGGGUGAGGUUAAGGUGUGUUCAUCUCACACCUCUGCACUUGAUCCCACAGCCUGUUUUGACUGUUUUUGUGUGUUUCGGAAGCUGCUUUUGCCUCUCUUAACUGCCCAAGCGCUCAUGUUCUCUGUGCUCCAGGACCGUGCAGCCCUGCACUCCUCUUCCUCAUCCUGUGAGAACACCCUGGACCAGGAGAGCUCUGCCGAGGCCAGCCUCUCCUCCCUGGCGUCCUCUCUGAGCAGCUGGACUCCGUGUGACGGCAGGGAGCCCUCGCUGAGCGAGAAGUCCGGCACCCCAUCGAUAAAGUCCGACACUCUGGUUUCCUUGGAAACGUUCUCCCCCAUCCGCAAUGCUUCUGCCUUGUCCCGCGUAGCCCCUGACAUGACCCUGAGGGACCUUGUCGUGAAUGUGAGCCCCCCGCUGCCGGCAGAGGGAGCCCCGCUCCAAGGUGCUUCGAGAUCGACGCCCCACGAAGUGAAUGGAGAAGUGGGUGGGGCUCUAGUGUACAGGGAAGGGAUGGACCUCCUGUCACCCCAGUUGAGCAGCGGC
rnacentral:lncRNA from 1 species